AGGGCUAUAUAAAAUAAACUUGAUUUGAUUAAAGAGAGAAACAAAUGUUUGAACGUUGCAGUUUUAUAAAAGGCAUAGCAAUCAGUAUUUUUUCAUACUUGAACAUAUGGAGUUGGCUGUAUUUCAUAGUUUAACCUGUGGAGGUGACUGUAUUCGAAUUGCAGGGGGCAGGGAAACCAGUCGAGGCUGCUGUGGCUACUAAUAAUGUAGUAAUCUAAUAGAUUGUCAAAAAUCAUUCAAAUAAAUAACAAUUUACCUACUUUCGUAUUAGAUAUCUUUAACGUUCUUAAAUGCUAUGGAGUUGAAAUUGUUCAGCUUCAAAAGUUUCACUUUCAGUCUCCAGUGUUCUCAUUUUAUCUAACACUUAAACCACUCCCCUAAGUUCCCUAGACAAACCCUAUUCACCCCAUACAGAACAAAUCAGUCGAUAUAAUCGAGACCUAUCAUCAUAAAUCACGCGAUAUGAAUCAAACAGUGGGGCGCCGCCUGACCCACUAGUUGGUCAGAUAGUUCAAAUCAACGUUUUAUAUCAUAAUUUCCGAGUAAGCAAAAAGCAUCAACCACGGCUAAUACACCCCGUAUACGUUGGUAGCGGAAAUGACCAUUUUUAUUGUGCUUUAACUAAAACUAGAAGAUCUUCUGACGUCCUUUACUUUCGUCAACUGUACAUGCCAUCUUUCAGAAGAAAAAGAGCCACGCUGGAUUACAGAGACUUGACUAGAGGCACGUACACCCCUGCCAUCAACUUGGAUCGAGAGUACUGGGAGAACAGAGCCGGUUCCCUCUGCAGCAGAAGUUGUGCCCAGCUGCAGUGAUGCACCUCCUCCACCAGCAUCAAAAAAAGAAAGGCAGCCGAUAUUGAGACCUGGAAGUGGUUGAGGGAGCUACUCCACAUGCCUGCAGUGGAGCUGGAAUGUCCUCCACCCAACACCAUCUGCAGUAUGUGUAGAGUUUUGGAGGAGGCUGGGCUGUGGGGCUGUGGGGAUUGUGGCUCAGAUAAAUAUUCCUGUGCCACCUGUGCUGUGAGAGCACACAGCACUCUCAACAUUGUCCACCAGUUGGAGUUAUGGAAGGUCAUGUAUUUUAUGUUAUGUCAACAAACCUGUUAACUUCUGGCUUAAAAAAAAUUGCUUCCCAGUCAAAAUGUUGAUAUUGUACAUACAGUUCAGUUUCUAUAAAAGUUAAAGUUGCCUACAGCGGUAAGGUAAAUGUGGCUAAAUCUGUCGUGCCAAGCACAGAGUUGAUUUGGAGUUUUAUAACAACUUCUGCAAUGAAAUAUCCCCCUGAUAGUGUCRUUUCAAAUCUGCAGCUACUGUAGUCUGUUCUACAACAACGUUGUGUCUGUCUGUCUGUCUGUCUUAGUCAAGGCAGUUCAUCUCAUCUGUCACGGUGGGUCUACGAUGGGAGUGGAAGAGAAAAGAUAACCAUGACUGUCACAGCCAGUACAACAGUCUUCCAUUUUACAAACUGUAUCAGAACAUCAAGUGUAGCAGCACCAUGCUCGGAAGUUUACAUACACUUAGGUUGGAGUCAUUAGAACUUGUUUUUCAACCACUCCACAAAUUUC